AGCAAAAUGAGGAGGGUAUAUGAUCUGAAGUACCUAAUGUUGAUACAACCACUCAAGGUCUUCAAAGUUCUCUGAUUGCU
rfam:Oryza punctata chromosome 2, whole genome shotgun sequence.